UACGGGGGGGGCACGCGUUGUUCGGAAUUACUGGGCGUAAAGGGCUCGUAGGUGGCCAACUAAGUCGGACGUGAAAUCCCUCGGCUUAACCGGGGAACUGCAUCCGAUACUGGAUGGCUUGAGUUCGGGAGAGGGAUGUGGAAUUCCAGGUGUAGCGGUGAAAUGCGUAGAUAUCUGGAGGAACACCGGUGGCGAAGGCGGCGAUCUGGGUAGAUACUGACGCUGAGGUGCGAAAGCGUGGGGAGCAAACAGG
rnacentral:rRNA from 1 species